rnacentral:lncRNA from 9 species
CCUGUCCUGUCAGUUACCAUUGGCUUGACCUUAGGACAAAUGAGAAAAUUCUCAGCCUCAGUCUUUCUGCACAUGGGACUCCAUAACUUUUUGAUGAAAGUUCAAAUAGUGUGGGGUUUGUGAAAGAGAUUUUUAUUCUACAACUAUCAACAAAUUUUAUUUAAAAGCCUCUCGAGACUCCCACAUUCUAUGAUAGAACGAGAACUCCUAAAUGAAAAUUUUAUUAACAAAACAGGCAAACGUCCACACUACCUAUUAAACGAACAUCAUGGCAAAAUGAUCAAUGACUAGCCAUAUGGUGAGGCGAUAACUAACAUGGCGUAAUUAUAUGAAAAUUGCUGCCGAGCGAGCUCUGGGUUGAUAAAACGAGUCCAAUGGCUGUUUUCUCAUUUUGUUGGGAGUGCUUGCCUAUUCUCAGAGUAGCACGGCAUCCCAUUUUCCCUGUUGCACUUGAUAAGGGCAAAUUGGCAGAGUAGGAUGGACAGAGCUGCGUGCAGUCCCACAGUUCAGCCUGCAAUCGACUGGAAGAGUGGUACAGAUUGUUUUCCCUUCAUUCAGAGACACUUAUCAAGGCCCAACAAGGAAGGUAAUUCGGGCCACUUGCCAGGCAGAUGAACCUCUCAGAAGAGACAGCACCAAGCCCCUCCCCCCAACCCUCAAGCAUAACAAAAUUGUUAAGACUUUGCCAGCCCCAGGGGGUAGAAAACAAAGAAAGAAAGGGGAAAGAAAGAAAUUUCUGAAGCAGACUGCUUAAUAAAGGGUACCCAACAGAGUAAUUUAGCCAAGUAUUUCAAAGAGCUAUUCAGUUGUGGCCUUGUAACCUCUCCGCACCCGUGAGAAGAGAAGCUCACCGCAGAAAUGUGCUCUUUGAUUUGUAGCUGAUUUUCCUCUCUUAUAUGCAUCUACUCAGUGCCUCUCAGAUUCAGGAGCAGAGACAAUCACCUUGUGACAAGAGGGAAGAAAGUAAGAAACAUGUGGAGACACACAAAGGGAUGAAGAAACAGGUCCAGAGGAACCAGGAGCUCAGAGGGAUGAAGGAACCUCCCCAGGUUCACAGCGACUAGGAGGCAGAGCCCAGACUUGAGCUCCAAAAUGGGAGUCCAGAGCUCUCAGUAAAACCUCAUGCUGUUUCAAAGAGUAAUGUGUCGAAUCAGUGAAUGCGUGACUCAUCUUACAAAACUGAGUCUCAGACAUUUCAAAGAUCUCUCCUUUCAGAGCUGGGAUCCUGGGCCGCUGUGCAGGGCUCCACGCC